AGCCAUCCUCGUACACCUCCGCCGCCGCAGCAAGCAGACACCGAGAGUUCGAUACCCAGUCCGCCUGCUGCGCCGCCACCUCCGCGAUGAGGGCCAAGUGGAAGAAGAAGAGGAUGAGGAGGCUCAAGAGGAAGCGCCGAAAGAUGAGGCAGCGAUCCAAGUAGGUGAACAACGAGGAGAAAGCUGAACCUUGUAUCAUUGCACCAGUAUGUUGGGAUGAUAGGGUGUUCUGGUUCCUGAUAUGUCUGGGUUGUUGUGAUAUUUGGGUGAUGCCAACCCUUGUAACAUGAGGAUAAUUAUAUGCUUUCCAUCAAGGCUGGAUAUUCAGCUUAAGAAAUAUUAUCAUCUAUUUUUGAUUUGCUGC